rnacentral:siRNA from 1 species
GCGAUCUGCCUCCUCCGCCUCUCC